rnacentral:rRNA from 1 species
UACGAAGGGGGCUAGCGUUGUUCGGAAUUACUGGGCGUAAAGCGUUUGUAGGCGGUUAUACAAGUCAGAUGUGAAAGCCCAGGGCUUAACCCUGGAAUUGCAUUUGAAACUGUAUAGCUAGAGAGUGUUAGAGGAAAGUGGAAUUCCUAGUGUAGGAGUGAAAUCCGUAGAGAUUAGGAGGAAUAUCGAUGGCGAAGGCAGCUUUCUGGGACAUUUCUGACGCUGAGAAACGAAAGCGUGGGUAGCAAGCAGG